rnacentral:rRNA from 1 species
ACAAGCUGAGAAACGGCUAGUAGGACUAAGGUCUGCAGCAGGCGCGAAACUUACACAAUGCUAGAUUUCAACUUGGCGAUGUAGUGAAGAAAAAUAACGAUGUACUUCUAUUUAAACAUAGUAGUACAAUUGGAAUGAGACGACUCUAAACCAGUCAGUCGAGUAACAAAUGGAGGGCAAGUCUGGUGCCAGCAGCCGCGGUAAUUCCAGCUCCAUUAGCAUACAUUAAAGUUGUUGCGGUUAAAAAGCUCGUAGUUGAAUUUUUAGCGGGCUCUAUUGGGAUGCAAUCGUUAAGGUUUCUUUAUUAACGUCAUGUUAUAAUUAAACUGGUUGUAUUUUCCCUAUAGGAACCCGUUGUUUCGUCACUUAAUCGAGUGCGAAGCGGGCUGAUAUUUGGAAAUUGAUAUUUAUUUAUCACAUUUUUGAUAGCAGCAUGUUUACCUUGAGAAAAUUAGAGUGCUCACAGCAGGCAGUUGGGGUGUAAAAGCUCCUUUAUGCUUGAAUAAUGUUGCAUGGAAUAAUAGAAUACGGCCUCGGUUCUAUUCUGUUGGUCUUAUAGAACAACAAAUAAGUUGAUUAAAGCGAUCAAAAGUUUACUUUAAACGUGGCCUCGUUUAGCCUAUGAAUUCAAAUUAUCUUGAAUCCUGUUGUCUGGGGCCUUAAAAUCUCAGUACCUAAUUUAAAAUAAAAAUUGGUUCCUAAAGUUAACUUGGUCAUUUAAAGCGUUUCUAGUACAACUAGCUUUCUAAUCAACUGAGGCAAUGGUUAAAAGAAAUAGUUGCGGCGGCAUCAGUACUGCAUCGUGAGAG